CUCAGCAAGAGCCGCUGUCUCCUCAGGGUUAGAUGGAGCAAUAAUCUCAUCGUAAUGUAAUUCCUCAAGAAGUGGCUGCUUAAAUCUGUCAGGCUCUGGUUCUGGUAAGUCAUCUUCAUUUGCAUCAACAAACUCUUUUCUUCCAAUUUUAAUGAUAGGCUUUCUUCGACGCUUUGUGGGAUACUCAGGAAGGUCAACUCCAGCUUGGAUGCAAAGUUCCACAAGAGCGGGAAUGCGGGGUACAGAAAACCUCUGAUCAUGAGGGAUGCGCGGCCCUAGGCGGUCCUCUAGAUGAUAGGCUUCGAUGGGUAAGAAAACAGCUUCAACUAGAGUACUUCCCCAGUCAUGUUCUCCUCUACGUUGAGCUGCUGACAUUCCUCGGCAUGUUCGGAAAGGAUGUCCAACAGAUCCAACAUGUAUCUCACUGCAAUACCUGCAACAGAAAAGUACACAUGAAUGUGCGAAGAUGAACCCAGGAGGAACUAGGUGGCAAUUGUAAAUUUGUAAAUAACAAGAAAUAGGCAUCCAUAUUCGAGUUGAAGAGGACUGAAUCUAGGUGGUUGGGUGUGCAUCCACACCUCCCACCAACUGAGCCUAGCUCAAUUUUUUUUGAACUUUGAAAGUUCACCUAGUGUGACGAUGAGAUUUUCUUUGUGUACAGUAUGAAGACCUCACUGGGAAACAGGC
rnacentral:lncRNA from 1 species